rfam:Bacilli bacterium VT-13-104 contig045, whole genome shotgun sequence.
AACAAUAGCAUAAAAGGUAACUCAAGGGUGACGGCAUCAUCCCCAGUAUUUAAGAAAGGGGGUGGUGCUAUGAUAACUGUGUUUGAAGCAUUAUCGCUUAUGCUGACGUUUGGCAUGUUUGUUAUAGCGCUGCUGGCUUUUAACCAAAAAAAAUAAUCCACCCUUGAGUUGGUCGCUCGAGUGGAUUAUUUGUCCAUUUGCUGCCAGUCGCCCUUGUAGGGAACUUAGCUAUUGUAUAGACUAAAGGUGUUAGCGCACCUUUA